rnacentral:rRNA from 1 species
UACAGGGGGGGCAAACGUUGCUCGGAAUUAUUGGGCGUAAAGCGCGCGUAGGCGGCCACUUAAGUCGGAUGUGAAAGCCCCUGGCUCAACUGGGGAAGUGCACCCGAAACUGAAUGGCUUGAAUGCAAAAGAGGGUCGCGGAAUUCCCGGUGUAGAGGUGAAAUUCGUAGAUAUCGGGAGGAACACCGGUGGCGAAGGCGGCGACCUGGGUUGACAUUGACGCUGAGGCGCGAAAGCGUGGGGAGCAAACAGG